rnacentral:tRNA from 1 species
AGAUAAGAAGUGACAUACACGCUUUAACUUCGAACUAAAGAAGGAAUUUUUUUCCUUAUCUU